UACGGAGGGGGCUAGCGUUGUUCGGAAUGACUGGGCGUAAAGCGUACGUAGGCGGCUUUGUAAGUCAGAGGUGAAAGCCUGGAGCUUAACUCCAGAACUGCCUUUGAGACUGCAUCGCUCGAAUCCGGGAGAGGUGAAUGGAAUUCCGAGUGUAGAGGUGAAAUUCGUAGAUAUUCGGAAGAACACCAGUGGCGAAGGCGGCUCACUGGACCGGCAUUGACGCUGAGGUGCGAAAGCUUGGGGAGCAAACAG
rnacentral:rRNA from 1 species